AACGAACGCUGGCGGCAUGCCUAACACAUGCAAGUCGAACGAGACCUUCGGGUCUAGUGGCGCACGGGUGCGUAACGCGUGGGAACCUGCCCUUAGGUUCGGAAUAACUCCCCGAAAGGGGUGCUAAUACCGGAUAAUGUCUUCGGACCAAAGAUUUAUCGCCUUUGGAUGGGCCCGCGUUGGAUUAGCUAGUUGGUAGGGUAAAAGCCUACCAAGGCGACGAUCCAUAGCUGGUCUGAGAGGAUGAUCAGCCACACUGGGACUGAGACACGGCCCAGACUCCUACGGGAGGCAGCAGUGGGGAAUUUUGGACAAUGGGCGAAAGCCUGACCCAGCAAUGCCGCGUGAGUGUGGAAGGCCUUGGGGUUGUAAAGCUCUUUUCCCGGGGAGAAUAAUAACAGUCCCGGAAGAAAAAGCCCCGGCUAACCCCGGC
rnacentral:rRNA from 1 species